AGAGUUUGAUCCUGGCUCAGGAUAAACGCUGGCGGCGCACAUAAGACAUGCAAGUCGAACGGAAGUCGUUAUAAAAUGGAUUGAAGAUUUAUCAGAUUGAAGUUUCAUAACAAUGGCUUUAGUGGCGGACUGGUGAGUAAUAUGUAAGCAACCUGCCUGUUAGAGGGGAACAACAGUUAGAAAUGACUGCUAAUACCGCAUAUGCCAUAGAAACUGCAUGGUUUCAGUGGGAAAGGAGAAAUCCGCUAACAGAUGGGCUUACACCUGAUUAGCUAGUUGGUGGGGCAAAGGCCUACCAAGGCGACGAUCAGUAGCCGGACUGAGAGGUUCAACGGCCACAUUGGGACUGAGAUACGGCCCAGACUCCUACGGGAGGCAGCAGUCGGGAAUUUUGCGCAAUGGAGGAAACUCUGACGCAGUGACGCCGCGUGCAGGAAGAAGGUUUUCGGAUUGUAAACUGCUUUAGACAGGGAAGAAAAAGGACAGUACCUGUAGAAUAAGCUCCGGCUAACUACGUGCCAGCAGCCGCGGUAAUACGUAGGGAGCGAGCGUUAUCCGGAUUUAUUGGGUGUAAAGGGUGCGUAGACGGGAUAAUAAGUUAGCUGUGAAAUCCCUCGGCUCAACCGGGGAACUGCAACUAAAACUGUUAUUCUUGAGUACUGGAGAGGAAAGUGGAAUUCCUAGUGUAGCGGUGAAAUGCGUAGAUAUUAGGAGGAAUACCAGUGGCGAAGGCGACUUUCUGGACAGAAACUGACGUUGAGGCACGAAAGUGUGGGGAGCAAACAGGAUUAGAUACCCUG
rnacentral:rRNA from 1 species